rnacentral:rRNA from 1 species
CAGCAGCCGCGGGAAUACGAAGGGGGCUAGCGUUGCUCGGAAUUACUGGGCGUAAAGGGAGCGUAGGCGGAUCGUUUAGUCAGGGUUGAAAUCCCGGGGCUCAACCUCGGAACUGCCUUUGAUACUGGCGAUCUUGAGUAUGGGAGAGGUGUGUGGAACUCCGAGUGUAGAGGUGAAAUUCGUAGAUAUUCGGAAGAACACCAGUGGCGAAGGCGACACACUGGCCCAUUACUGACGCUGAGGCUCGAAAGCGUGGGGAGCAGACAGGAUUAGAUACCCGGGUAGUCCCUGUCUCUUAUAA